CUGUGACUAUCCUUGCUGUUCUGAUUUGUAAUUAUCUGGACAAGCUAAACGUUCACUGCAUUCAGACCACGCAGGUGUCCCCAGACCUAGUUCUUUCCCCAGGUCUGGUUUUAGCAAUGCUGGUGAUAAAC
ensembl:snoRNA SNORA72 Small nucleolar RNA SNORA72